GCAGUCUUCGUCCAGGCCAACAAGCUGCAGCAGCACAUCUUCGCGGUGCACGGGCAGGAGGACAAGAUCUACGACUGCACGCAGUGCCCCCAGAAGUUCUUCUUCCAGACCGAGCUGCAGAAUCACACGAUGAGCCAGCACGCACAGUGAGGGACCGCGCGACAGGACACCUCUCGGCGGAAGGCCUGCCGGAGACGCCGUGCGGAGGGCCAUUUGAACAUUACAUCCAAUCAAAGUGUCAUUUGCAACCCAGAUGUAAAACUCUAAUGAUUUGGCCAUGAGGCGCUGCUAUUAUAAGCAGCUGGAAAUGAAUAUUAAUGGCAGAGAUUAAAAGUAUUUCAUGCUCAGUAUUUUUUAUUGCCCUGCUCCAGCUAGUGCGCUUUUAGACUUUCUGCCGCAGACUACGUUUCUAGAGUUAGAGGAGCCCGCUUUUUUGAGCCUAUUGUCCUUUGUUCCUUCAUGUAUUAUAUUGAUAGUUUUUAAAGAGAAAGAGUUAGUGUUUUGUUUUUUUUCCCCCUCUCCUUGGCUUCUUUUUCUUUCUUGUUUUUUCUCCCUUCUCUCCCCCCACCCCCCCCAACCCCCUUCGGUUAACUACUUUUUAAUUGCAGUUCUAGAUAAUUGUGCAUUGUGACGUGAUUGCUUGGCGAUUGUCGGAAUAUCUCCUUUCCCUUUUUUAAUUAAAGACGAAUGCUUUGAUUGGAUUUGCCAGUUCGCCGGACAGUGAUUACAACUGUGUAAUGAGGAGCACCGGUUUCAGUGCCACUGGAAGGCCUGCUUGGAAACGCGGCCGCGGGCCGCGGCACUGGUGCAGUUUAAUAAAAGGGAAACACGCUCUCGGC